rnacentral:rRNA from 1 species
GUGACCUCAAAUCAGGUAGGACUACCCGCUGAACUUAAGCAUAUCAAUAAGCGGAGGAAAAGAAACUAACAAGGAUUCCCCUAGUAACUGCGAGUGAAGCGGGAAAAGCUCAAAUUUAAAAUCUGGCGGUCUUUUGGCUGUCCGAGUUGUAAUCUAGAGAAGUGUUAUCCGCGCUGGACCGUGUACAAGUCUCCUGGAAUGGAGCAUCAUAGAGGGUGAGAAUCCCGUCUUUGACAUGGACUGCCAGGGCUUUGUGAUGCGCUCUCCAAAGAGUCGAGUUGUUUGGGAGUGCAGCUCAAAAUGGG